CUCGACGCUCCCCGGCGGCGCCGUCUGCCUGCGAUUGGCUCGCCCGGAGGAGGUUUUCCUUCCUUCUUUUCCUGUUUCCCCGCAAUAGAAACGGCCCCGGUGAUGUGGCGCUGACGUGGUCGGCGGCUCAGGUCCUGAACCACAACCCCAAGACCAAGGCCCAAGCUGAGAUCCAGAGUCAGAUGCUCAACUGACUGAGCCACCCAGCUGAAGAUCUCUGACAAGACACUUUCAUGAGAAGGAUAAGAAGGAAUUUCAGGCAACAAAACACGUGCUGUCUUCUACAGAAAGCAGGUAAAUGAGAAGAUGUGUUCACCCCUCUCAGCUUUGCAUUCCUGAAACAACGUAAUGGGAGAGAAAAGGAAUACGAUUGAAUGGGACAAUGGCUUGUUUGGAGCACCCCUGGGAAUGUACACUGGAAAAAGGUUGGAUCUAGUAUUGGAAAAGUCAAACAAGGGAUCUACACCUUGUAUUGCCCUCUUUGGAGAACUUCAGUGCUUGUGGGCCUCAGCUCCUUUCUGAGGAAUUUCCGGGGCAGCCCUGGUGGCUCAGCGGUUUAGUGCCACCUUCAGUCCAGGGCGCGAUCCUGGAG